rnacentral:rRNA from 1 species
UACGAAGGGGGCUAGCGUUGUUCGGAAUUACUGGGCGUAAAGCGCACGUAGGCGGAUAUUUAAGUCAGGGGUGAAAUCCCGGGGGCUCAACCUCGGAACUGCCUUUGAUACUGGGUAUCUUGAGUAUGGAAGAGGUAAGUGGAAUUGCGAGUGUAGAGGUGAAAUUCGUAGAUAUUCGCAGGAACACCAGUGGCGAAGGCGGCUUACUGGUCCAUUACUGGACGCUGAGGUGCGAAAGCGAUGGGGAGCAAACUAGGG